rnacentral:sRNA from 1 species
GUUUGCACUUGUCGGGGAAGGGUGAGAACCUUCGAUUAAGGUUCGACUCGAGCGAAAGCGAGAGAACGUUGCCAAGGGCAACGGCCCGUAGGGUGAGGAGCGAAGCGACGAAUAAUCCUUCCCCCACCACCA